GCUAUAGUAUGUAUUUGAAUAACAUCUGGUAGCCAAUACAGGAAAAAAAGGGUUAUAUGGAACCUAAGAUGUACAAUACGCAACCUGUAUCCCAAUUCAGCGGUUUUCAAAUGAAGUUCUCUCUCAUCCUCCCCCAAUCAUCACCGUUUUUUCUCCACUUUUGCUCGCCACAAUCAUCGCAUGAUUUGAUUAAACUAAAUCGUUGCUGCGAAAAAAUAGUGAUUAUAAGCAACUAGAAGUAAGACAUUGUUAGGGUUUUUUUGAAGACGCUCCAGUUUUUGAAUUUAAUGGUUGACGGAACCACUCCAACCAGGUUUACUCGAGGCUCUAUUGCAAAAAUGGAUGUCGAGAGGCGUACCAAGCAGUGCCAUGACCCCAUAAAUAUGCAAACAAUGGAACAAUCAGAGGUGCAAAAUCUACAAAAAGAAAAGACGAUGGACAAGCUUCAAAAAGUUCUGAAGUUUCCAUAGCAGGUAUAGAAAAGAGGAGAAAAGUCAAUGAUGUUGCUUUGGGGAGCAAGGGUAAAAAUGUUGUUCAAGACGAGUCCUCGAAAGCAGUGGAGGAGGAGGUAUUGUAUCUGAUUUUCCUCACAUAUACAAUGUAUUGAUGUAUUUCUAUAAUUAAGAAAUUAAUCUUCUAUCGAUAAUCAUUCAGCUUUAUGUAUACACAGUAGCUGUUCUUUGGGACUUUUAGAUACAUUGUAUAAAAAUAGCAUGUUUGAUAUGGGUGUAUUCUGUGUCUUGUAUAUAAAAAAUAUUGAUGUUUUUUAUAUAGUGUAUACUUAGUAAAGUAGUUGUAUUGCACUUUAUUUUGGAUCUUUUUUUUUUUUUUUUUUAUAUACAAUGCAUGAGUGAGCCUUCUGAUAUAGUCAAAUACACAACAAAGUAGAUGUAUUUUGGGAAAAAAGUAUAUGUAUUUGAAUGUAUUUAUGGU